AGCCUCAUCCCAGCCAGUUCCCCUGGCCCACCCCGAGCCCUCGCGCCCCUCCCGGCGUUCACUACGUGCGACGCCCGGGUUGCCUAGCAGCGGGCCCACGUUGCCCGGCGACGCGCCCCGAGGAGUUUUGAAUUGUUCGGGUGAGACACAUCUUCAUUGUUACCACCACCACUAGGCCAUCACUAGGGACCAAGAUUUUGGCACUAGGAAUCAUACAGAUGGAAGUGGGAAAAAGCUAUAGCUAAGAACUAAGGAACCCCUGGGAACACAGAGGAGGAAGAUGAAGAGGCAAAGGAAGAAUAAAUGGAAGUUUCAACAGAAGGAGAUGGAAAACCAAGAAUCCAAGGUGGGGGAAUGAUGGUCCUGGACUCUCUGAAGACUCUGGCCCCUAAGUGCUGUCCGGAGGCAUCUGUGCACGUGCUCUGGCCACUCACCUGAGAAGGCUCGUGGUGAGGCAGCACUUCAUAGCAGAGGCACGUGGAAGAUGAAGGCUACUCCCCUCACGGU